UGGCAGUUGCUGGCACUAUAAAGAGUCCGUCAAGCAACACUAAUAUGUGUUGGUGGUCAAGAAUGUUUUGUAUGAAUUUUUACUGGUGUUGUUGAGGUGGUUCGUUGUUGUAUUUUUGUUUGGCCAUGGAGGGUACCACUAGCCGACUCUUAAGUUUUUCCUUGGCACUUCUCAGUCUUUGUGUCUGUGACCAUUUUGGAAGUGUUGGUGGCUUUGUCAGGAGUGGUUAUCCUGUUUACCAUGAGGCUGGUUUCCCCAUGCGGGAUAUGAAGCCACGAAGUUCCUACAGCUGGUAUGGGGCUGAUGUAUCAA